UACGUAGGUGGCGAGCGUUGUCCGGAUUUACUGGGCGUAAAGAGCGCGCAGGCGGUCGUACAAGUCGCGUGUGAAAGCCCCCGGCUCAACUGGGGAGGGUCACGCGAUACUGUUCGACUCGAAGGCAGGAGAGGGAAGUGGAAUUCCCGGUGUAGUGGUGAAAUGCGUAGAUAUCGAGAGGAACACCUGCGGCGAAGGCGGGUUGCUGGGCCGACACUGACGCUGAAGCGCGAAAGCUAGGGGAGCGAACGGG
rnacentral:rRNA from 1 species